GCGGGCGUGGUGAAACUGGUAAACACAAGGGACUUAAAAUCCCUCGGCUUCGGCCUUGUCGGUUCAAGUCCGACCGCCCGCACCA
rnacentral:tRNA from 1 species